GUUUACGCCGUCCGAUUUGUGUAGCUUCUUCCAACUAAUUCUUCUUCGUAUUCGUAGCCGUGAAAUCGUAAAGAUUCCAACUUUCUAUAUUGAAGAUGACAGACAAGUGCGAUGAGGCUCGGGUUCCUCCUAGCGACUCGGCUACAACGAACGAUGCUUCUCGAACGAGGCAAAGGAGAAAGAGAAAGUGGGAUCAGCCCGCGGAGCAGCUUGUUGCAGCUGGAGUUGUGCUUCCUCGAUUAGGCAAUGCUGCUAUCAAUGUUCCUCCUGCUGCUACCAACACUGUUGCUCCAUUCUUCCAAACCCCACUUCCAAAACUUAUUCAAGAUGAGCUAACCAUAGCUAGAGAAAUCGUUAUCAACGAUGCUGAAGCUUCUCUUAGGCACAAGCUUACUAAACGCUCAACUCAAGAAGAAAUUCAGAGGUCUACUGGUGCUGUGGUGAUUACUAGGGGCAAGUAUCGUCCUCCAAAUGCACCUCCUGAUGGUGAAAAGCCAUUAUAUCUUCACAUAUCUGCUGCUGCCCAUUUAAAAGAGACUACAGAGCGAAUUUUAGCAGUUGAUCGUGCAGCAGCUAUGAUUGAGGAGAUGAUGAAACAGAAAACAAACUCACAGGUCGGGUUGGUUGGUUCUCCGACGGUCAAGAUGCUGAACACAUGCGUUUAUUUGGGUUUUGAAGCUGACCCAUCAUCUAAUGUUGCUGCUCGUAUUCGUGGGCCUAACGAUCAGUAUAUAAAUCACAUUAUGAAUGAAACAGGAGCAACCGUUGUACUAAGAGGGCGUGGUUCAGGGAACCUUGAGAACCAACAUGGUGAAGAAGCACAGCAACCAUUGCAUCUGUUAUUGUCUAGUAGCAACCCGAAAAGCAUUGACGAUGCAAAACGUUUAGCUGAGAAUCUUAUGGAUACAAUCAGUGUUGAAUUCGGGGCUUCAAGGGUUUCCUCAAGCAAGGUGUAUGGUGCUGUACCACCACCACAGCAACUGCUUGCUGGAGCUCCGAUUCCUGAAACCGCACAAAAGCCAAAUUUGAGUUCAUCAUAUGGUUUGAUGACAUCGCCAAAUGCUGUUAAUCCAUUUCCAGUUCCUCCAGCAACAACAACUCUGUAUCCUCAGUUUCCAGUGUUUCAGCCUCCAGGGAUCUCAAACGGUGGGCACUUGCGACCAAGUCCAGUCAGUUACUUACAACCUGCGGCUGGUGGAACUAGUUAUAGUGGGUAUGCCGGAAUAUACCCUCAAGCCACUCCACUGCAACAAGUUGCUCAAGUCCUUAAGCAAUCUGUUACUCCUGUUGUCUCCACCGUGCCCCCUACUUUGUUGACAUCUGCCGCCUUAUCAAAGCCAAGUGGUAUUCCAAGUAAGGAAACGGAAAGGCGUCCACCCCAGAAGCGCAAGUUUCAGGAGCUACCAGCUGAUUGUAAAGUCCCAGCAAAAUCCAAAGAGGGUAUUCUUAAUAUUGGAGGCACCAUGUGUUUGCAGUCAUCCUUGCUUCAGUUUGGCGAUCAGAAUCAGAACCUUUUUACUUUUAAAACGUCCUUCGAAAGUCGUGACAUGUCUCCCUUGUGUGCAUGCUCCCAUGUAUCUACACUUACGUACCUUUCAUUUAGAAGUCCGAGUCAGCAAUGGCAGGUGAAGUUGCUCCAAAGAAUAUACGUGAGCCAACAGCAAAUGGAGUGGGAUCACUGCCUUCACAACGAUCCAUGAUGCCUCCUCCUCCACCAAAGACCAUCCAACCACCACCUUCGAGGGAUGUGUCUCCUCCAUCAUCGAGAACCAUGCUUCCUCCACCACCGCGAUUUACACCAUCAAAACAACCUCCAGCUCCAAGAUUACAGGAGGACCAAAUCACUAUUAAGAAACCAAAUCCAGUUCCAGAUACUUUAAUAAAAUUGAUGGAGUAUGGGGAUGAUGAUGACGAUGAUGAAGACUAGACAUUGACAGUGUAAUGGUAUGAUGGAACCAUCUGAUCUGGCAAAACAAAAUUCCAGGCUAUGCUUGAAACAAUAGAGAAGCCUUGUCCUGAUAUAAAGUUAUAAGACAUUAGCUUACAUUUGUCUUGCAACCUAUUACUAUGGCUGAUUUUGUGAUGCCCCUUUUGUUGUACCUCUUUACGAAUACACACCAAUAGAGAAGCCUUUUCCAA